UGAAGCUAAAGUAUUUGACCUCAUCGAACCAGAUUCUGACAGUGAGAUCAGACCUGAAGUGACAGCUUUAAAAACUGGAAUGUAUGAAUGCCAGCUAGACUCACAUAGAUUUCUCAGAUUCUCAAAGUGGAAGUCCCUUGUGAGAGGUAUAGCAACACUAAUUCACAUUGCCAAGUCAUUUUCCAGCAGCACUCAAAAGGAGUCAUGUUCAGGCUGGCAUUGCUGCAAAGGGUUAUGCCAUUCCUUAGAUUUCUUGCAAGCUGAAACAGUGACUAUCAAAUGUAUCCAAACAUGAAAAUAUAGAAAAUGGAAAGAGAAACAAAACGUUCAAGAAGGAGAUCUUGUAUUGUUGAAAGACUCUCAAGUAAAGCGCUAUAGAUGGACAAUGAGUCUUACUGUAAAAGCCAUUCCUAGUGGUGAUGGUAGAGGUCAAAAUCAUUAAACAAGGGACUGCUAAAGUAUACCUGAGACCUGUGUCAGAUUUGAUUGUUCUUUUUCAAAGUAAAAAGUUAUCUGGUUGAAUUUAAUAAUAAUUUAUAGAUCAUGUAAUAGUGGUAUAUGUUUAUACCAGGCGGGGAGUAUUCUGUCUAUUAUAUGCUUAUUAUGUUCAUGUUGAUGACAUCUGGUGGUUUCAUGUUGCAAUUACAGCUUGGUUCCUCUCAAGAAUAAAACAGGAAGUGUUAAUAAAGUUUGUUAAUAAAAAGUUACUUUCAGUUUCUCAGCAGCCAUCUUAGCUUCAAGAAGCAUGGAAAUCAGCUCUUAAACAUACAUAUGCCUUUGCCAACCAAUAAUAAGGAUAUUCUCCUAAGUGGCUUUGUUCCUGCACAUCUUCUGGAAAAGUCAGAUCUUCAAUCAAGUUUUUCUUAUCUUCAACAGUUUUCCAGUUGUGUUUCUAACCUUCUAGACAAGUUGGAUAUUUCAUCACGGAAGAUUCUUCUCUUCAAACUUCUACUCUUCAUGAUUUUCGGUUUCCUGUUGGUUUGGAGUUAUUCCUUCAUGAUGGACUUUUUGUUUCCUUCUUCAGUUUCAAAGAAAGAGGAUGUAUUGCUGUAUUGUGGACAGUUUAUAGGUCUUAUUAGCAAUUUGAUUGGUUAUGUCAUUUUAGUUUAAUCAGUUCUCUAUUCUGAUUGGUCACUGAUGUAUUAUUUGUUUUUUACUGUCUACUUUUUAAAUUUGACAGUUUGUUGUAUUUUCAUCUAUACUUUGAAUAACUGCAUUUAAGUAGUAAAGAGAGAGAAUGCAAAAUAA